rnacentral:lncRNA from 1 species
AAUAUCUCAACAAACACCAAAUCUGCUGGCACCAUGGUCUUGAGCUUCCCAGCCUUCAGACUGUGGGAAAUAAAUUUCUAUUAUUUAUAAAUCACCCAGUCUAAGGUAUUUCGUUACAGCUGCAAGAAUGGACAAAGACAGAAUAUAGUAGGCUAAAAGGAGAUCCAUUUAAAAAGCUUCUUCUCUGCUUGGAACAGUGUUAGUUGACUAAAUUUUUCAUCAUCCAUCAAGUUAUUUGACUGACAGAUAGCUGGCCAACAAGUUCUUUGAUUGAAGCUGCAGUCUUCAACAUGGUGCUGCAGACAGUGGUUCAUUCUACCCACGGGACUGUGGUCAGGACCCAGGAGGCACCAAACCUGGGAAAAGGUAGCUGGGAGAUGAGUUAAGGAGGGUAAGUUACUUAAUCAAGUAAUGUUGGCUGUUGCUCUUUCCAGAGAUUAAAGUUGUUCAAAUGGUUGCCACAGCAAAUUUAUGCAGAGAAUGGGGGCCAGCAGCUAAAACCCAAGCCUUCUGGACUCCACUGCAGCCUUUUCUUCAAACUCAGCUGGUCUCCCUGGGUUUUCUGAAGCUCAGAGGGACACCUUGUAUUGCUGGAUGAUAAAAACAGGAGCAAAGUGAUGAAAUGCUGACAAGGCAACAAUAGAACAUGAGAGAUUCACUGCUGUGUAGGAAGAGAUCUUCAGUGACCAUGUAGCCUGAAGCUCUCAUUUUGUCAUCGAGGGACACCAAAACUCAGAACAGGUGUUGUUCCUGAGCACUGGCUUCAAAAACCUUGCUGCUCAUUUAUCUUGUCUCACGGUGGUCUCCCAGGGAACCAACCAAAGAGGAGGAGGAGGAGAAUAGUGGUGGGGGUGGGUUGUUGACGUCUGACUUCAGAGAUUUUUUCUUUCAUCACACAAUAAAAUUAAUAAAAUAAAAAGACAAGGAUUCGGGAUGCCCUCGGAGUUCAUCCAUCAUAUUUUCAAAAGGAAAUUUCAAGCCAGCAAUCUUCCCAUCAGCUUCCAGGAGUAUUUUCUAGAAUAGUUGAAGGGUGGUUUUGCCUAAAACCUGGGGGUUGGCAUAGGUGGCCUUUCAAGGAGGCUUCUAGCUUCAAGUUUCUGUCAAUUAUGCUUUGCAUAUCUAAGAGCUGUUUGGGCUGGAGAAUUCAAAGAAAUUUUCAAUGUGCCAGGGUUGAGAUUCAGCGUCUUUUUGCUGAGUGGGCAUUGAUGAGAAAUGCCUCUGAACUCGCAGGGGUGAUGCAGCCCCCUGGCCAGCCUGCCAACUCUACAUACUCUCAUUGCUCCAACG